rnacentral:rRNA from 1 species
GACGAACGCUGGCGGCGUGCCUAAUACAUGCAAGUCGAACGAACUCUGGUAUUGAUUGGUGCUUGCAUCAUGAUUUACAUUUGAGUGAGUGGCGAACUGGUGAGUAACACAUGGGAAACCUGCCCAGAAGCGGGGGAUAACACCUGGAAACAGAUGCUAAUACCGCAUAACAACUUGGACCGCAUGGUCCGAGUUUGAAAGAUGGCUUCGGCUAUCACUUUUGGAUGGUCCCGCGGCGUAUUAGCUAGAUGGUGGGGUAACGGCUCACCAUGGCAAUGAUACGUAGCCGACCUGAGAGGGUAAUCGGCCACAUUGGGACUGAGACACGGCCCAAACUCCUACGGGAGGCAGCAGUAGGGAAUCUUCCACAAUGGACGAAAGUCUGAUGGAGCAACGCCGCGUGAGUGAAGAAGGGUUUCGGCUCGUAAAACUCUGUUGUUAAAGAAGAACAUAUCUGAGAGUAACUGUUCAGGUAUUGACGGUAUUUAACCAGAAAGCCACGGCUAACUACGUGCCAGCAGCCGCGGUAAUACGUAGGUGGCAAGCGUUGUCCGGAUUUAUUGGGCGUAAAGCGAGCGCAGGCGGUUUUUUAAGUCUGAUGUGAAAGCCUUCGGCUCAACCGAAGAAGUGCAUCGGAAACUGGGAAACUUGAGUGCAGAAGAGGACAGUGGAACUCCAUGUGUAGCGGUGAAAUGCGUAGAUAUAUGGAAGAACACCAGUGGCGAAGGCGGCUGUCUGGUCUGUAACUGACGCUGAGGCUCGAAAGUAUGGGUAGCAAACAGGAUUAGAUACCCUGGUAGUCCAUACCGUAAACGAUGAAUGCUAAGUGUUGGAGGGUUUCCGCCCUUCAGUGCUGCAGCUAACGCAUUAAGCAUUCCGCCUGGGGAGUACGGCCGCAAGGCUGAAACUCAAAGGAAUUGACGGGGGCCCGCACAAGCGGUGGAGCAUGUGGUUUAAUUCGAAGCUGCGCGAAGAACCUUACCAGGUCUUGACAUACUAUGCAAAUCUAAGAGAUUAGACGUUCCCUUCGGGGACAUGGAUACAGGUGGUGCAUGGUUGUCGUCAGCUCGUGUCGUGAGAUGUUGGGUUAAGUCCCGCAACGAGCGCAACCCUUAUUAUCAGUUGCCAGCAUUAAGUUGGGCACUCUGGUGAGACUGCCGGUGACAAACCGGAGGAAGGUGGGGAUGACGUCAAAUCAUCAUGCCCCUUAUGACCUGGGCUACACACGUGCUACAAUGGAUGGUACAACGAGUUGCGAACUCGCGAGAGUAAGCUAAUCUCUUAAAGCCAUUCUCAGUUCGGAUUGUAGGCUGCAACUCGCCUACAUGAAGUCGGAAUCGCUAGUAAUCGCGGAUCAGCAUGCCGCGGUGAAUACGUUCCCGGGCCUUGUACACACCACCCGUCACACCAUGAGAGUUUGUAACACCCAAAGUCGGUGGGGUAACCUUUUAGGAACCAGCCGCCUAAGGUGGGACAGAUGAUUAGGGUGAAG